GUUGCACAAAAUAAUUUGCCACGUAUCAAUUCAACGUACGAAGCCAUUUGACGCUUAACUUAUCAGAACGUUAACAAAUCGGAAAGAUCGAAUGUUCAAAGCCUCAAUCGUCGACAAGUAAAAGAAUUUGUUCAUGCUAGCUGCAUGCAAUCCGAACAUACGUAUGGAGAUCAAUGGGAUGGAUGGAAGACGGUCUGUCGGUCGUCUGCUUUUUGCAGUAAAACAUGUAGUUUUAUAGUCUGCUCACAGACAAUAGAGUGAUUUAGCAAACACAACGUUUCGUCUAAGACGUCGUCAAAUAUUUGCGAGGGAUCUGGGUCUAGGACGCCACCACGUCGUAAAGUAUUUAUCAUUUAGCAAAUCAUUUCAAGGAAUUCGUAAAAUGAUAGUAUGAAACAAGUUUCAUCCAUUUCGGCAAAAAAUCAUCGUGACAGUUUUGAUUUAUUCCAAGUUCUUCCUUCAAAACCUAAUCAUUUUUUCGUUGAACGUACUGAAUUACGAGAUAAAAUUAUAAAAGAUCU